GCAAGUCGAACGAUGAAGCCUAGCUUGCUGGGUGGAUUAGUGGCGAACGGGUGAGUAACACGUGAGUAACCUGCCCUUGACUCUGGGAUAAGCACUGGAAACGGUGUCUAAUACCGGAUAUUUCAACCGAUCGCAUGGUCUGGUUGUGGAAAGAAUUUUGGUCAAGGAUGGACUCGCGGCCUAUCAGGUUGUUGGUGAGGUAAUGGCUCACCAAGCCUACGACGGGUAGCCGGCCUGAGAGGGUGACC
rnacentral:rRNA from 1 species